GCACAAUGAAAAGAGAGAAGGAAGGAGAUUCUCAAACCCUAACUCAAUCUUUAAACCAAGAUAACUUUUGAUUCGGAGCUCUGAUCGCCGCAUUGUUUGCGGCCACGCGAUCGCAGUGACGAGCUCUACAAAGUCCGGUACCUUUCAAGAUGCAGGUUGAGAGGCACCUCGCUAGGUAUCUGGAGCUUCUGAAGCGAAGUGGUUUCUUUUGGGGUUUCUUUUAACAUUUUGAUAUAUGUAUAUAUAAAUUCUCCUUUUAUAUACUUGUUUAUUUGCUCCUCCUAGAGGUUUAUGGAGAACUAGGGUUUUAUCUAUGUAUUUUGGGUUUCGGAUUAUGUAUAUAAGUAUGUAAAUAUUCUUCGGCCAGCCUUAGUUUCACAGGCUGAGUUAGGAACUUGUUAGUACUUUUGACCCUCUAUUCCUGCUUUCUAUUUAUUAUACUUAUGAAUCUUAGGUUU